UGUUGUAAGAAAAAAAAAAGGUGUGUGUGUUCGGUGCAGGGACCGGGAGGGAGUGUUCAGGAAAGAUCGAUCCUAUGAAAGAGUAACAAAAGUGAAAUAACCUCAGCCUGUAAGAAUAAAGAACACUAUCAUGAAGAUUGGCCACUGUGGAAAAUCAUACUAGACCUACAACCAGGUGAAUUUUUUGUGUGAUGUUUGAUUUUUAGUGAUAUUUUUUCAAUGCCUAUAUAAAAAAGAUUAUUUAGGGAAUAGGCCCAAAUAUUACCGUGUUUUCUACCUUCUCUACAUGUCUCUUAUGGAAGUCUUGACCCCAACAUGUCUUAUUGCAACUUAAAAGGGCUAAUUAAUACAGAAUGCAACCAUUUCAUCUAGAGCACAGCCCUCAAAUUUAUAAAACUUAAAAGUUAAAAUUACUUAGUGCUGUUGAUCUCACACACUUCUUUUUUCUAAGAAUAAUUUAUGAUUACACAUUAUACCCUAUUUUUUCAUUUCCUCAAAAAAAAAUCUUGCUUGAUUUUGAACUUUGAAGACAGUGGGAAAGCAUUGACGCAUCUUUUCCAAUCACAGUCAAUUGAAUCCAUCUCUCUUUAUUUUUUAUGCAUCAGGCAUUCCUUAACUUAUGCAAAAAUUAUGAUUUUAAAAAAAUUUUUGUGCAUGUGUUCUAUGUCCCACUUUUUUUUUAUAUCAAAUUCUGACUGGCAGGUACAUAGAAUGGUGCUGACUGCAUGCAUAGGCUGGCUGUCCAAAGCAAUUUCCAUAUAAUGCUUUCCCAUAGCAUUCCAUCUUGGCAUAGUGCUAGCAAGUAAAAAGUGGAUUUAUAAUGACUAUUAAUGUCAUUUGAGGAGAGAAGUCAGUGUCCAUGCAAAUGAGAGAUUAAUGCUCAUCCCUAAAUGAAGUGUUGGUAUAGCCAAAUGCCGAGACAGCAAUGCCUUGCAGCCUGUUUAAAAGGCAUUUCAAUCAUAAGAUGAUAAAUUCCCUCACGUUGGCUCAGACAACCCCAGCAAAGCAAAAAUGGUCAUUCGUCCAAAAGGAUAGAGCAAUUUGGGAAUGUGUAAACAUUUUGUUUAGCUUCCAAGAGAAAAGUAUAUGCUAUUGUACUUGCAUCUUUAAGCAAAAAUGUGACCCCCAUCUCUAGCAUUAAGAAGCAGUGCUUAGCUUUCAUGUAUGCACAGGUAAUUCUGGCUAUGACACAGUCACUGUUACCCAUGUAUCUUUCAUGUUCCAGGUUGGACUGUAAAGGCCAUCAGAAUAACCCAUUGACAUUUAGGAAAAUAUAUUAUGUAGCAUACAGGAAAUUUACUCUUGUAAUAAUUAGGAACAAAUAUCUCUGGUUAGUAUAUAGUUUAGGGAAUAUUAAAUUUAUAUAAAUAGUAGGUCAAUAUGAUUGGCCAUAUCACAGUAGAAAGCUUCAUUUUAAAUUCAUUUCUGUAAUAUAUUAUGGUAAUUUAGAAGCAAAAAAUUAGACUACUUACUUCAAAGUGUCAAAUAUAAUUAUCACUUAGUGAUUUUUCACUAUUAAGGGUCAUAGAGAAUACCUAGGACCUGGAAUAAUUUGUUCUCAUCAUCGUUGGCAUUUUGCUUUGAGACUCUGCUGUAAUUUUAUGACCAAAUAAAAGAUAAUAAAUCCAUCUCUUCCUUCCCACCUCCAUUCUCUGCCUCCUCCACACUCACCAAAGACACCCUUCACAGUCUCUUCAGGCAUUCUGAGGCAAAUACAGAUCUGGGAUCCUGCCUCAAUGGAGCCUUUAAUUAUGAUGAUGUUUUGGUAGAUCAUAAGCUAUCUUACUACAUAAAUUGGAAAAGCAAAGACUUAUAUAAAUGACCUAUAUUUAGUAUAUAUCUUUAGAGUUCAUGCAUUUUUCUUCCAAUCUGUGAAGCAAUUAUCUGCUAUUAUAAUUUAAAUAUGAAUUAAUUCAAUCAGAGACCCAGACUCUUUCCUAGAAGGCAUUGUAGAUUAAUGAGUAAAUAUGUAUUAGCAUGUCUUAAAACUGCACAUUAUUGACCCCAGAGACAACAGGGGAACUAUAAUGACUGAUUAUGUAAAUCUUCAAUUGCAGAUUGUUGCUAUACUCCAUAAUGCCAUUAAUUUACAUUAAUGUCAGUCUUUCCUUACUAGGCUCUUAUUAAUUAGCUGUUCCUUGACACAUAUUCUGAUGUAGACUUUUUGUAAGUCAUUAAAGUCCUCUGUGUGGAGACCUCCUCAAAGACCUUUUAGUUUGUGUAUAAUUGACAAACCAGAUGACAGCUUUUACUGUUGAUCAUAAAACUGCAGCCAAUUCACUCGGGCACUGGAUUUAUGUUUUGAAACCUUUCCUUUUAACAUUUUUGUAGAGAAAAAAUUUAAAUGCAGGUACAUUUAUUUAUUAGAUAGUCUAAAAUAUGCCCUUUUCUGCAAGGUCAAGUUCAGAAGAGUUUUUAAUCCAAUGAACAAUUACUUUUUGAGAUUUUGUAAUCAGAAAUCCUCCUUAGAAGCACCCACUCCAUAUGAAUUCUCUUAAAAACUCUCAUGUUUUAAAAUAAUUUUUCUGAACUAGUAUUUAAAGGCACAGAUUUUCAUGUGUUUAAUAUGCCAUCUCACUGAGUGUAGUCCCAAGCAUCCAGGGACUGAAAACACCCACUUCUUGGAAAAAGGCAACAUCCUUAGGAGGCAGUGAAGGCAGAGCUUGUCAAUCAAGAGUACUCUGGGCUUCAAAGUGCCUGACUUCUGGGUUGGUUUCAUGUAAGCUUAUUACUACAUUCCAAUCACAGUCAUUGCUUCAUUCCUUUAUUCACUCAAAAAUACUUACUGAGCACUAACUCUAUAUCCAGUAUUAAUAGCUAGAUAUCAGUGAGCAAGAGAAAAAAAAAUCUACCUUCAUGCAACUUAGUUUCCAAGGUGAAGAGGAGAUGGACAAUAUGCAAGAAAUCUUAUAGAAGUCUGGGUGAUAAUUAAGUGGGGAGGGAUGCUUAAUGCAGUUUGUCCUUUUUCUUUGUUCUUCCACUCUUUUCACAGCUGGAGGGUCAGCAUGGGGAUAUAGCAGACAUCUUGCAUUCAUGAAGAUGAAAGAUGCUCUUAAUUAAGGGUCCAGAAGCAGAUAAAGAUACUCAUUAAGGUUCCAGUGCAGAAAUCUUGGGUCUUAAUAAUGCUGUGGGACCACCACGCCAACUUAUAACUAGACUUCCUACUUCCUGUCUCUAGCCCUCUCUGUGUAUGUGAAAAAUAAACAUUUCUUCCUAUUUAGUGAAGAUGCUAUUUGUAUUUUUGUUACAUGAAUUUAAACAGAAUCCCAAUGCUUAUAAUUUUUGCUUCAGUGAUUUUUUUUCUUUUUUAAUUCUCAAACUUCGGAGAUCUGCAACAUGGCUGUGGGCACAGAGAGAUCAAGUCUCUGACCUCUUCAGCUGCGCGGGCAUAGGGAGUCGCAAACCAUCUAAAUGCUGUUUGCUCAGGAUCACUAGGCAAUGCUGAGCUGACGUGGAUCUGGGGCGAACAGUCUGGGCCUCUCAGAACACACACAGAGCCCGGAUCAGCUGAAUUCAAGCUCCCGUUCGCCUCCUUCUAGCAGACAAACUGCUGUGACUCAGCACUAAAGGAUCCUGCUGAAACAACUGGUCGACCCUUCUGAUCCUAUGGAGGUUAAUGCCAACCGAGCCUUCAUAGGCAGUGGCCACAGGAUUGAAACCGGGCUUGGGAGAGCCAGUCAGGACCCACCCGUUGCAUUCGUCACCUGGCAAAGGGAACGAACUGUCGCCUUUUGCAUGGGAUACCACCAUGGCAGAGAACUGACGUCACCAGAAUGCGGCGGAGGAGAUAACUCCAUUGAAACCGGCGGUGACAGUGACUUCUUCCCUUCCCUUUUAAUACCUUUCCUCCCAAGCAUCAAAUAAAUUUAUAGGAGUAAACAGUAACUCAGCAGUCAAACAGAACAAGAAGUAACAUGAGCAGCAUGAAAAAGCAAGGAAGAAAAGGAGUACAAACAAUGCAGGACAGCCUAAAUAUUCAGGAGGACCUAGAGGCAUCAGAAAAAUGGUCAAAUAAAGAACUCAAGGAAUACCUUAGACAGAUGGAAUGGAACCUUAAAGAGGAUAUGAGACAGCAAAUUCAAACANAUAAAAGAAGAAAUUAAGCAUCUUUAUCAGGAGAUAGAGAUUAUUAAAAAAAAUCAAACAAUAAUUCUAGAAAUGAAGGAAACUGUAAACCAAAUUAAAAACUCAAAUGAGAGUAUCACUAACAGAGUGGAGCAAGUAGAAGCCAGAACGUCAGAUAAUGAAGACAAAAUAUAUCAUCUUGUAAUUCUCAAACUUCUGCCUGCUAUUUUCUUUUUUCUCAUUUCUGGAGGUAACAGUCCUGGUCUGGCAUUUCUAAUGCCUGUACUUCAAGGUUUUCUUCAGAGCCAUGGUAGAGGAUUUUCUUGUCUGUCCUUAGUAUUCCUACAGGGUGCCCUAGUUUGUAACAGUAAGAUGGCUCCUGGGUUUGAGCAUGGCCAUGGGAUAAAAUCAAGUUACCCAGCCACUUUAGGAUUGUGUCUUUCUCCCUAAUUUCAUUAGCUCUGUUGCUUCACUUUGUGAAAUAACACUAUGAAAUUGCUGUUUGUUUGGUUUUUUUUCCUAGAGUAAGAUUGUUUCUACAUCCGUUGUUUUGUCAUUCAAAGUUGCAAGAAAUGAACUUCUGGGGCCAGAAUGUAGUUACCCUCAAGAAGGUAUAUUCAUAAUAUCAAAAAUGUUAUUUUUUUAGUGGAUGAUAUGAAACUUGGAGUUCAUUUUCAAGUUAGUUGUCUCUAGGCUGAUACAAUGUAUUAAUGAGCAGAAAUGGAGGUGGAGAGAGAAAGCCCCUGAGAAACCAAACUAACCUUCUGAAUUUUCAAAUUCAGGGAAUACUUGGAUGGUUUAACGGUCUUAUCAAUCUUGUUUUGUCCUAUGUCUCCACCAGAAAUUCCCUCAGAAGUUGAGUGAGCUUGGAAUCCUCCUUGAGAAUUUUAUCUCUCCAGGCAUUAAACUCUUUAAGAAUAUUAUCCUUUAGAACCAUUUUUAUAGUUUAAAUGAUGAAAUACAUCUUUACAUCCUGUUUUAUAAUAUUAUUAGAAGUGCUUGGCAAUUAUCU
rnacentral:lncRNA from 1 species